rnacentral:rRNA from 1 species
UACAGAGGGUGCAAGCGUUAAUCGGAAUUACUGGGCGUAAAGGGCGCGUAGGCGGCCUUCUAAGUCGAACGUGAAAUCCCCGGGCUCAACCCGGGAACUGCGUCCGAUACUGGAAGGCUUGAAUCCGGGAGAGGGAUGUGGAAUUCCAGGUGUAGCGGUGAAAUGACGUAGAUAUCUGGAGGAACACCGGUGGCGAAGGCGACAUCCUGGACCGGUAGUUGACGCUGAGGCGCGAAAG